GUGAACGCUGGCGGCAGGCCUAACCCAUGCAAGUCGAACGGCAGCACAGUAAGGGCUUGCUCUUACGGGUGGCGAGUGGCGGACGGGUGAGGAAUACAUCGGAAUCUACUUUUUCGUGGGGGAUAACGUAGGGAAACUUACGCUAAUACCGCAUACGACCUACGGGUGAAAGCAGGGGAUCUUCGGACCUUGCGCGAUUGAAUGAGCCGAUGUCGGAUUAGCUAGUUGGCGGGGUAAAGGCCCACCAAGGCGACGAUCCGUAGCUGGUCUGAGAGGAUGAUCAGCCACACUGGAACUGAGACACGGUCCAGACUCCUACGGGAGGCAGCAGUGGGGAAUAUUGGACAAUGGGCGCAAGCCUGAUCCAGCCAUACCGCGUGGGUGAAGAAGGCCUUCGGGUUGUAAAGCCCUUUUGUUGGGAAAGAAAAGCAGCAGGUUAAUACCCCGCUGUUCUGACGGUACCCAAAGAAUAAGCACCGGCUAACUUCGUG
rnacentral:rRNA from 1 species